UUACGGCCAUAUCAUGUUGAAACACUGGUUCCCGUACGAUAACCGAAGAUAAGCAACGCCGCGCCUAGUCAAUACCUAGAUGGGUGAUAGCUUUUGAAUACGAGGUGGUGUAU